AUGUCGACAAGCAGAAAGCAAUGUUCUAUCGCGGUGUUGCUGCUGCUAGUGCUCGUCCAACUCAUCGGUGCUCUCGCUCGACCUCCAUAUAUUGAGUUACAGAACCAUGUUUCGUUGUGUAGCUACAUAGUUACAAGGGCGAUUAUCUUCGUCCAGGAACCUGUCACUAUAACAAACCAUGAGGUGAAGCUGGAAAAUUGUGUGGAUGCUGCUUCGUUGGGUUAUAUUGCCUUAUUGGAUUAUUCGGUUUCUUUAUAG
rnacentral:rRNA from 1 species